rnacentral:rRNA from 1 species
UACAGAGGUCUCAAGCGUUGUUCGGAUUCAUUGGGCGUAAAGGGCGCGUAGGCUGCGGGGUAAGUCGGGUGUGAAAUCUCAGAGCUCAACUCUGAAACUGCACUCGAUACUGCUUUGCUUGAGGACUGGAGAGGAGAUUGGAAUUCACGGUGUAGCAGUGAAAUGCGUAGAUAUCGUGAGGAAGACCAGUGGCGAAGGCGGCAGCCUGGACCAAUACUGACGCUGAGGAGCGAAAGCCAGGGGAGCAAACGGG